rnacentral:lncRNA from 15 species
UACCGUCAGCGUGACUCACUUCCUUUACUCAGCAGCAGCGUGAGCAAAAGCUGACUGGCUCCCCGCGCGAGCUGACACCCCGCCCGGCCCAAAUAUGGGCAGUCAAGCCUGAGGUUACAGAUUACAGCCAACUCAAUAACCACUCGCCUUCCAAGGACGUAGGAGAGACUACGGUGGCCAUGAAAGUCCAAAAAACAGCCAACCAGUGUUUGUUUUGUCUGUUCUGGGCUACUGUAGACAAAUGGCGGGUCAACAUGGCGGAGUCAACCAAAGGCGACCUGCGAUAAAAAUCCUUCUAAGGGAGCUUAAUGCGAUCGAUCAGCCAGGCCCUUUCAAGAUCAGCGCCAGUAUAAGCAUCUCUUCCCCUAACACACAUGCUGCCUCUUUCCCCUCAGGAUGCCUUCAACUCUGGCACUGCAUACGUAACUGCUCAGGGACUACUUGUAUAAUGCAGAACAAUUUAACAUAUUCAAGUCUGUGCUGUGAGAGGCGUCGGGUGGUUCAGUUUACCGCGUGCCCGCUCUGGCCCACGAUCGAAUCCUGCCAGAGCUCCUGA